rnacentral:lncRNA from 1 species
CAGCUCACAAUCAGCAUUGAAUCAAUUGGAAAUGUGUGAAUAAACACUAAGUGCACUGAGUUGAGAGAACCAAGAAGAAGAAUCAAUCAUUAUAUGAGAGAGCAUGGGAUUGCCAAUUGGGUCAUCGAAAAGAAAUGAGCCCCAAACACCCAAAACUUUUCCAUUUAACUUAAAUUAUAAUUCAUACAAAAUAAAACACAAAAACAAAACUUGACCAGCAGCUAUAGAGGGGCUAAUGCAUCAACAGUACAUGCACUUAUUGUUAGGAUUGAGCCCUUAAAAGCAAAGUCUUGAUAUAACAUGACUUUAUAUUAUUCAUUAAUAAUAUGGUUUUUCAUUUUUUUCAUGCAUAGCUGAUUGUAUUCACUUACAUCUUUCAGGAUUACCUCUGAAUCCCUUGAGUUUCAGAUCCAUCCUAUGAUCAAUUGACAUCUCUCUAUCCAUUAGGAUAGAUGUCAAAUUUGAUUAAUUUGGAAUUACUAUGGUCAUAGUUUUACUUGAUCAUAUUUGCUUAGAAUCACUCAAGGGGAUAUACUAUCUCGAUCCCAUGAAAUAUCAUGAUGCCCCUAUCAUGAGUAUCAAUUUCUACCUGCCUAGACCACUAACCACCUAAUCCAAAAGGAAUAUAUGAUCCUUUAGGAUCUUAUCCGUAUAGACAAUGUGACUAAUGACCUAAACAUUAGUGCAAUACCCUCUCAAGGUUGAAAACUCAUACAACAUAGUAACUUAGAAAAAUGCAUGUAAUCAAAUAGCCAUUUGGACAUGCUUCUCCAUAUGUCCUAUUCAAUGUAUAACCAUACACUUUUUUUUUUUUUUGAUAGGUAAUGUAUAACCAUACACUUUUUUUUUUUUUUUGAUAGGUAAUGUAUAACCGUACACAUUAGUACACUUACCA